UACGGGGGGGGCAAGCGUUGUUCGGAAUUACUGGGCGUAAAGGGCUCGUAGGCGGCCCGGUAAGUCCGCUGUGAAAGUCAAAGGCUCAACCUUUGAAUGUCAGCGGAUACUGCCGGGCUAGAGUCCGGGAGAGGCGAGUGGAACUCCUGGUGUAGCGGUGGAAUGCGCAGAUAUCAGGAAGAACACCAACGGCGAAGGCAGCUCGCUGGGACGGAACCGACGCUGAGGCGCGAAAGCGUGGGGAGCGAACAGG
rnacentral:rRNA from 1 species